rnacentral:rRNA from 1 species
AAUGAACGCUGGCGGCAGGCCUAAAACAUGCAAGUCGAACGCCGUAGCAGUACGGAGUGGCGCACGGGUGAGUAACACGUGGGAAUAUGCCUUUUGGUACGGAACAACUUUUGGAAACGAAAGCUAAUACCGUAUGGUCCCUUCGGGGUAAAGAUUUAUCGCCAAAAGAUUAGCCCGCGCUGGAUUAGCUAGUUGGUGAGGUAAUGGCUCACCAAGGCGACGAUCCAUAGCUGGUCUUAGAGGACGAUCAGCCACACUGGGACUGAGACACGGCCCAGACUCCUACGGGAGGCAGCAGUUAGGAAUAUUGGACAAUGGGCGCAAGCCUGAUCCAGCCAUGCCGCGUGAGUGAUGAAGGCCUUCGGGUUGUAAAGCUCUUUAGCCGAUGAAUAUAAUGACUGUAGUCGGAAAAUAAGCCCCGGCUAACUUCGUGCCAGCCGCCGCGGUAAUAC